GAUGAACGCUGGCGGCGUGCCUAACACAUGCAAGUCGAACGAAGGUAUAUAUAGGAAGUCUUCGGAUGGAAUAUGUAUAACUUAGUGGCGGACGGGUGAGUAACGCGUAAGUAAUCAACCUGUGACACACGGAUAACUGAUAGAAAUGUCAGCUAAUACGAGAUGAACUGUUUAAAUUGGGAAAUGGAAACAGCAAAGCGAAAGCGGUCACAGACGAGCUUGCGUCUGAUUAGCUAGUUGGUGGGGUAAGAGCCUACCAAGGCGACGAUCAGUAGCCGGCCUGAGAGGGUGAACGGCCACAUUGGAACUGAGACACGGUCCAAACUCCUACGGGAGGCAGCAGUGGGGGAUAUUGCACAAUGGGGGGAACCCUGAUGCAGCAACGCCGCGUGAGUGAAGAAGGCCCUAGGGUCGUAAAGCUCUGUCGUAUGGGAAGAAACAAAUGACUGUACCAUACAAGAAAGCCCCGGCUAACUACGUGCCAGCAGCCGCGGUAAUACGUAGGGGGCAAGCGUUAUCCGGAAUUACUGGGCGUAAAGGGUGCGUAGGCGGCUAGUUAAGUCGAGGUUAAAAGGCAGUAGCUCAACUACUGUUGGGCCUUGAAACUAAUUAGCUUGAGUAUAGGAGAGGAAAGUGGAAUUCCCGGUGUAGCGGUGAAAUGCGUAGAUAUCGGGAGGAAUACCGGUGGCGAAGGCGACUUUCUGGGCUAUAACUGACGCUGAGGCACGAAAGCGUGGGUAGCAAACAGG
rnacentral:rRNA from 1 species